AAGAAAUCUCCUGUUCUGUUUCUUGUGUAUAGAUGAGAUGUGAUCUGUCUGCUUCCUGACUGCCAGGCUGGCCCCUCCCUUCUGCUCCCAUGCCUUCCUGACACAAUAGUCUAUAUCUCCUCUGGGACUGUAAGCUAAGAUAGAUGCCUUCUCCUCUCCGUUGCUUAUGGGCCUGGUAUUUUGUCGUGGUGUCGGACGACUAAUUACUACAGGGAGCUAAUGCAGGAGCACAAUGGAGAGAAAUGACAGAAACCAAGAAAGAGUCCCAAUGACCCCUGGUAAGAAUGACCUGGAGGUGACAUGCGACAACUGUGCACAUGUGGUUGUCAUUGAGGUGUCAGCCCAUCUUCAAGUGGAGAGAGUGGCAGAGAAGAGCCGUCUUUUGGUUGCUAGGAAGUAGAGAAAGAGAAUACAAGGAGAAACCAGGGCAAGAUGUCACUUCAAGGACAUAGCCCAGUGAUCUGCUUCUUCUGCAGCCCCCACCAUC